rnacentral:rRNA from 1 species
UACGUAGGUGGCAAGCGUUGUCCGGAUUUACUGGGCGUAAAGGAUGCGUAGGCGGACAUUUAAGUCAGAUGUGAAAUACCCGAGCUUAACUUGGGUGCUGCAUUUGAAACUGGGUGUCUAGAGUGCAGGAGAGGUAAGUGGAAUUCCUAGUGUAGCGGUGAAAUGCGUAGAGAUUAGGAAGAACACCAGUGGCGAAGGCGACUUACUGGACUGUAACUGACGCUGAGGCACGAAAGCGUGGGGAGCGAACGGG